CACAUGCAAGUCGAGGGGAAACGACAUCGAAAGCUUGCUUUUGAUGGGCGUCGACCGGCGCACGGGUGAGUAACGCGUACCCAACCUGCCCACCACUUGGGGAUAACCUUGCGAAAGUAAGACUAAUACCCAAUGAUAUCUCUAGAAGACAUCUGAAGGAGAUUAAAGAUUUAUCGGUGAUGGAUGGGGAUGCGUCUGAUUAGCUUGUUGGCGGGGUAACGGCCCACCAAGGCUACGAUCAGUAGGGGUUCUGAGAGGAAGGUCCCCCACAUUGGAACUGAGACACGGUCCAAACUCCUACGGGAGGCAGCAGUGAGGAAUAUUGGUCAAUGGACGAGAGUCUGAACCAGCCAAGUAGCGUGCAGGAUGACGGCCCUAUGGGUUGUAAACUGCUUUUAUAAGGGAAUAAAGUGAGUCUCGUGAGACUUUUUGCAUGUACCUUAUGAAUAAGGACCGGCUAAUUCCGUGCCAGCAGCCGCGGUAAUACGGAAGGUCCGGGCGUUAUCCGGAUUUAUUGGGUUUAAAGGGAGCGUAGGCCGGAGAUUAAGCGUGUUGUGAAAUGUAGAUGCUCAACAUCUGCACUGCAGCGCGAACUGGUUUCCUUGAGUACGCACAAAGUGGGCGGAAUUCGUGGUGUAGCGGUGAAAUGCUUAGAUAUCACGAAGAACUCCGAUUGCGAAGGCAGCUCACUGGAGCGCAACUGACGCUGAAGCUCGAAAGUGCGGGUAUCGAAC
rnacentral:rRNA from 1 species